rnacentral:rRNA from 1 species
UACGGAGGAUGCAAGCGUUAUCCGGAAUGACUGGGCGUAAAGCGUCCGCAGGUGGCUAUGUAAGUCUGCUGUCAAAGCGUCUGGCUCAACCAGAUAAAGGCAGUGGAAACUACAUAGCUAGAGUAAGGUAGGGGUAGAGGGAAUUCCUGGUGUAGCGGUGAAAUGCGUAGAGAUCAGGAAGAACACCAGUGGCGAAGGCGCUCUGCUGGACCUUAACUGACGCUGAGGGACGAAAGCGAGGGGAGCGAAUGGG